CUUUGAAGAUUAAUUGAAUCUUUAGAACCAUUGCUGCUGGUAAGUACGACAUUCGAUUGUUUUCAAUUUUAGUGAUUAGAAGCUUUGGAUUGUUGAGUUGAGGUGUGAUUAGAAGCUUUGGAUUGUUGAGAUUUACCAAUUUAUUCUGGGUUUUCGUAGUUUUCCUUUUGUGCUUGGAGGACCAGGAGGAUUGAGGACUAAGUUUGAUCUUUGAGGGAGAAGAAGGCAAAGUUUGAAUCUGAAAAUGCUUUUAAUCAAGGAGUGGAGGCAACAUUGACCAAUACUAGCUCUACACAAACUGAUGCUUAGCAGCCUACAUCAAACUGAGUAUGAAGUAUGAAUUUGCAGAAACUGAGUAUGAAGUGUGAAUUUGCAGAAACUGAAUUUGAGGGAUCACAGUAACUCAGCAAGGCAGUAAGCAAAUAUAAAGUGAUGAUGAGAUGAACUUUGAGUCCUUGAACACUUUGUUUUCAACUAUUGCACUUAGUUAUUGUAUCAUUUGAUAUUUGAUUCAUUUGUGUGAAGUGUGAACUGUGAACUAUGAAUUAUUGACUUAAAAUUUGUACGAACUAUGGAGUGAUGAA